rnacentral:tRNA from 1 species
GGUUAUAUGUCUGAUUUAAGUAUUGAAUUGUAAAUUCAAAUAAGGUAAAACCCUGUAACCA